GCAGUCGAGGGGUAACAGGGUGCUUGCACCGCUGACGACCGGCGAACGGGUGCGUAACGCGUAUAGAAUCUGCCUUGUACAGGAGGAUAGCCUUUAGAAAUGAAGAUUAAUACUCCAUAAUGUAGAGAAGUGGCAUCAUUUUUUUACUAAAGAUUUAUCGGUACAAGAUGACUAUGCGUCCUAUUAGCUAGAUGGUAAGGUAACGGCUUACCAUGGCGACGAUAGGUAGGGGGUCUGAGAGGAUUAUCCCCCACACUGGUACUGAGACACGGACCAGACUCCUACGGGAGGCAGCAGUGAGGAAUAUUGGUCAAUGGAGGCAACUCUGAACCAGCCAUGCCGCGUGCAGGAAGACUGCCCUAUGGGUUGUAAACUGCUUUUAUACAGGAAGAAACAGUCGUACGUGUACGGCCUUGACGGUACUGUAAGAAUAAGCACCGGCUAACUCCGUGCCAGCAGCCGCGGUAAUACGGAGGGUGCAAGCGUUAUCCGGAAUCAUUGGGUUUAAAGGGUCCGCAGGCGGUCAAUUAAGUCAGAGGUGAAAUCCCAUAGCUUAACUAUGGAACUGCCUUUGAUACUGGUUGACUUGAGUUAUACGGAAGUAGAUAGAAUAAGUAGUGUAGCGGUGAAAUGCAUAGAUAUUACUUAGAAUACCGAUUGCGAAGGCAGUCU
rnacentral:rRNA from 1 species